UAAAAAAUGAAGACAAUGAAAAUAAUACGGAAGAAAUUGAAGCUAUGUGAUUGUUCUUCUAUUUGUAUAUCAAGGACCAAUAAUCUACAGAUUAAAUUAAUCACCAGAGUUCU
rnacentral:misc_RNA from 1 species